GAUCCUGGCUCAGGAUGAACGCUAGCGACAGGCUUAACACAUGCAAGUCGAGGGGCAGCACGGGAGUAGCAAUACAACUGGGUGGCGACCGGCGCACGGGUGAGUAACGCGUAUGCAACCUACCUAUCAGGAGGGGAAUAACCCGGCGAAAGUCGGACUAAUACCGCAUAAAACAGGGGCACCGCAUGGUGAUAUUUGUUAAAGAAAUUCGCUGAUAGAUGGGCAUGCGUUCCAUUAGGUAGUUGGUGAGGUAACGGCUCACCAAGCCGACGAUGGAUAGGGGAACUGAGAGGUUGGUCCCCCACACUGGUACUGAGACACGGACCAGACUCCUACGGGAGGCAGCAGUGAGGAAUAUUGGUCAAUGGGCGAGAGCCUGAACCAGCCAAGUCGCGUGAAGGAAGAAGGAUCUAUGGUUCGUAAACUUCUUUUGCAGGGGAAUAAAGUGCGGGACGUGUCCUGUUUUGUAUGUACCCUGAGAAUAAGGAUCGGCUAACUCCGUGCCAGCAGCGGC
rnacentral:rRNA from 1 species